AGCAUAAGGUAGCGAGCCUGCGGAGGGAGCUUGCCAGUGGGCUGUUCACGCUGAGCUGCGACGCCUGCGCGGUACCGGCCGCGGAGACUUCCUUUUAUUUCCAGUGAAGGCCGUCGGGUUAGAGCAAGGCAGCAGCAGGAUCCUGUUUCCUCCUGUGCUCUGAAUGUGCAGCUGAAAGAGAGCAAGGAGCUGGCUCCCUAUGGACUCAGAUUCUGUUCCGUGAUAGGGGAGGAGAUGCUGCCUUCCCCCAUUCACUAUAACCCCUUUCCCCAAUAAACCUCAUUUUAAUA